rnacentral:lncRNA from 1 species
AGACGGCUGCGGAUCUCGCUGGCCCCGUGGGUGGGCGCGGGGGACGCGGGAGGGGCCGAGCUCACGGGGCCAGCGCCGGGGCCUGCAGGUGGCCCUGGAGGAAUCUGCAAGCACCCGCCCGUGCAGCGGGCCUUCCGGGAGACCAGUGUGGACAGCGCCCUGGACACGCCCUUCCCAGCUGGAACAUCUGUGAGGCUGGAAUUUAAGCUCCGGCAGACAGGGAAGCGGCUGGAGGAAGGCCUGGAAGAAACCCAAGUGCAAAGCCCAGCCCGAGAGGAGGAAGCAGAAAUGCCUGACCUGCGUCAAAAUGGACUGUGAGGAUAAGGUUCUGGGCAGGAUGGUUCGCUGCCCUCCAGAGACGCAGACUCGGCGGGAGCCUGAGGAGCACCAGGGGGCCGGGUGCAGCCCGGCGGAGCGGGCGGUGAGGACCCCACGGCUGCCGCUUCCCUGCACGGUUCGCCUCCUCCAAGGCCCGGCCCCCAGC